rnacentral:lncRNA from 1 species
UGGCGAGCAGAGGGGCCCAAAGCUACCAGGGUCUUAAAAGGCCAAUUAAUGCCACUGGGGCCACAGUCAGGCCCCCACUGGCCUUUCACUGUCCCCUGGGGCCAUCCUUCAAUCCGCAUGGAAGUCUGAAAGCAUCUCCGUAGAGACGUCAGUCAGUCCCCUGGACAGAGAGUGCAGUGCGCCCCAGCUCUGGAGUGGGUCCGUCACUUGUCUGCGAGCUGGCCCGCCAGUCAUGAUGAGGCUCGGGUGUCUUCUCAUCAGGACAACCAAACAGCCACACCCCCCUGGGUCCCCCUGUCGCCUGAGGCCUGAGACCACGUGGCCGUCCCCAAGGAUGUCCGACUGUUGCCUUAGUUCCUGAUGCCAGCCCUGUGCCUAGAUCAUGUGUCACCUGUUUGCGGUGACAUUUUCUUCAGCUCCCCGGGGUGACCACCGGGCCACACCUGAGCUGGCUCU